UACAGGAGCAAGCCACCAUGCACGUCUGCCUUAACUGUCUAAUAUUUUGAAUUUUUCUCUUUCAAACAUCUGAGAAUGAGGGUGAUGGGGUAGGAGUGGUGUUUCCUUUUGUCCUUUCUCAUGUACCAUGUUGCUCUUUGUUUCAGCCUCAAAUUUUCGAAUUUUCUUACCUACUCAGCAGAUGUUUGCAGUCCUUCUGAAAUGUUAGGACAGGUAGGGCAUGGUGGCUCAUGCCUGUAACCUCAGCACUCUGCAGACAGAGAAAAGAAUAUUGCCCCAAACUCAAGACAAGUCUACAAGGCAAAUUCAAGGCCAUGUACAGUUAUAUUGGAGACUUUAUCUUAAACAAACAAAAAAGGAGAGACUAUCAACAAAACAGCUCUAUUGCUCAUAAACUGGCCUAAAAGCCAACCCAGAGGCAGCCUGCAUCGGCUCCUGGCCCAGCGCUAGCAAGCCAUCCAGCGUCUAUUCCAGGGACGACAAGAAAGAGACCGGUGGUGGUGAUGCAUGCUUUUAAUUCCAGCACUUGGGAAAAAGAAGCAGGCAAAUCUCUGACUUCAAGGCCAGCCUGGGCUCCAGAGCAAGUUCCAGGACAGCCAGGACUGCGCACAGAAACUCUGUCUCAGAAAAACAAAACAACAACAACAAAAAAUUUGAUAACUACUACUGUUUGCCUCUGCAGGGAGAGGACAUCAUAUCAGAAUCUCUUUAGGUCUACCAUAUUAGCGAAUGCUCACACUAUGAUAUCCGGAAACAACAACAACAACUAAUAAUGAUGAUGAUGAUGAUAUGAAAUAAAAAAUAAAAAUAAUGAA